GGACGAACGCUGGCGGCGUGCUUAACACAUGCAAGUCGAACGAGGAUCAAGGAAGAGCUGCUCCGAGAUGAUCGAGUGGCGGACGGGUGAGUAACGCGUGAACAAUCUGUCUCAUACAGGGGGAUAACGCAUCGAAAGAUGUGCUAAUACCGCGUAGGACCACAGCAUCGCAUGGUGCAGGGGUGAAAGGAGCAAUCCGGUAUGAGGUGAGUUCGCGUCUGAUUAGAUAGUUGGUGAGGUAACGGCCCACCAAGUCAACGAUCAGUAGCCGACCUGAGAGGGUGAUCGGCCACAUUGGGACUGAGACACGGCCCAGACUCCUACGGGAGGCAGCAGUGGGGAAUAUUGGGCAAUGGGCGAAAGCCUGACCCAGCAACGCCGCGUGAAGGAAGAAGGUUUUCGGAUCGUAAACUUCUGUCCUUGGUGAAGAUAGUGACGGUAGCCAAGGAGGAAGCCCCGGCUAACUACGUGCCAGCAGCAGC
rnacentral:rRNA from 1 species